rnacentral:lncRNA from 10 species
GCAAAGCUCCAAGACAGACCUGUAGCAGCAUGGCCCAAAAAGUUCCUCUGCUGCCCCAGUCCCAUACCUGCCUGAGGUACGGGGGUUCAGGCUGAGUCGGCUGACCUGGAGUCAUCUGGAAGCCUUGUCAGAAAUGCAGAUUCUGCAGUGCUGUUCCCAGAGGAUGAGAUUCAGCAGAACUGGGUGUUGGAUAUUAUAUGAAGAGAUUUGCAAGUGUUAUUUUACGUAAUUCGCACUUUACAAAGGAGGAAACUGCAGCGCAGGUACCAAGGUUGCCCCAUCUCGGUCCAGGCCUGCUCCCGGCGAGCCACUCGCCCUUGACCACGCCUCCUCUCUCCUGAUUGGCUGUCAGGCAUGAGUGAGAAGGAAGCCAUCUGCAACCCAAGGAGAGAGCUCUUGCCAGACUCUGACCCUGCUGGCAUCUUGAUCUUGAUUUUGGAUUUUCUGGACAGAGAAAGAUGACCACUGCCCUCACCCCACUAAAGAAGCCCCAGCACUUAGCAAGCACUUAUGGCC